GAACCUUCAGAUUUCAGAUUUGAUUAGGGUUUUAGCGUCUUCGGACCAGGCUUCAUUCCCCCCAAUUGUUGCUCCCUGUUUACUCCAUAUUUCUUCCUUCUUUUCAAAUUAGGGUUUCAGAUCCAGUGAAUGAACCCUUGUUAAAGGUUUUGCAUGGGAAGAUCAAUAGCUUGAAUUUGGACCUCUUUCUCCUUUUAAAUUUCGCAUUGUAAUAUGUAACCAUUUAGAUCAUUUAGUCUCGGAUUAUACUUAAUAGUUACCACUAGAUUGCUAAUACGACAUUUACUAUGCAUCUUAGAUCUUUCACUUGUGUAGUGAAAAUCUUCAAUCUGGUGUUAUUCUUGAAAUCUUAUCCUCUUAUUGUACGAUGAACCAGAUUCCAGAUAUUUAGUAAACCA
rnacentral:precursor_RNA from 1 species